GGAGAGGUAGCAUAGUCCGGUCUAAUGCGCGCGCCUGGAGAGCGCGUGAGCCGAAAGGCUCCAUGGGUUCAAAUCCCAUCCUCUCCGCCA
rnacentral:tRNA from 1 species